rnacentral:rRNA from 1 species
ACUCCUGCGGGAGGCAGCAGUGGGGAAUUUUGGACAAUGGGCGAAAGCCUGAUCCAGCAAUGCCGCGUGUGUGAAGAAGGCCUUCGGGUUGUAAAGCACUUUUGUCCGGAAAGAAAUCCUUGGCUCUAAUACAGUCGGGGGAUGACGGUACCGGAAGAAUAAGCACCGGCUAACUACGUGCCAGCAGCCGCGGUAAUACGUAGGGUGCGAGCGUUAAUCGGAAUUACUGGGCGUAAAGCGUGCGCAGGCGGUUUGCUAAGACCGAUGUGAAAUCCCCGGGCUCAACCUGGGAACUGCAUUGGUGACUGGCAGGCUAGAGGAUGGCAGAGGGGGGUAGAAUUCCACGUGUAGCAGUGAAAUGCGUAGAGAUGUGGAGGAAUACCGAUGGCGAAGGCAGCCCCCUGGGCCAAUACUGACGCUCAUGCACGAAAGCGUGGGGAGCAAACAGGAUUAGAUACCCUUGUAGUCCCAUGAU